GGAGUAUGUGUUGGGGGAUCUAACAAGGGCAUGACCUAGACUGGUUCAGGGCCGGGGAUGUGAUAUGGAUACAGGAGUGUUUGUUGGGGUCUUAAACAAGGGCAGGACCCAGCCUAGUUUAGUGCAGGGACUGAGAUGUGCGCUCAGCAGUAUGUGUUGGUGGAUCUAACAAGGGCAUGACCUAGACUGGUUCAGUGCAUGAACCAAGAUGUAGGUUCAGGAGUAUUUGUCGGGGUCUUGAACAAGGGCAGGACCCUGGCGGGUUCAGGGCAGGGAGUGAGAUGUGGGAUCAGGAGUGUUUUCUGGGGGAUUGAACAAGAGCAAGACAGACCUAAUUUCAGGGGCAGGGAGCGAGUUGUGGGCUCACGGUUGUUUGCCGGAGGCUUGAACAAAGGCAGGACUCAGCCUGCUUCAGUGCGGGGACUGAGAUGUGGGCUCAGGUGUAUGUGUUAGAUUCCCCCAACACAUACACCUG
rnacentral:sRNA from 1 species